UGGUCCAUGGUGUAAUUGGUAACACACCGGUUUUUGGUACCGACAUUCAAGGUUCGAGUCCUUGUGGACCAA
rnacentral:tRNA from 2 species